GGGACUUUCAAGAGUCUUCUCUGGCACCACAAUUUGAAAGCAUCAGUUAUUCGGCCCUCAGUCUUCUUCAUGGUCCAACUCUCACAUCCAUACAUGACCACUGGAAAACUCUCUGGGGAAAACUUGCUCCAGUUGAGCUGUUGGAGGAGCGUGUCCUCCUCUGUAAAGCCGUGGGUCAGCACAGCCUGGGACCUGCCCACCUGAGCAGGCAGAGGUGCCACCACUCGGACAGUGUGGCCUUGAGCAGCCUGCUCGCCUUAAUGAAGCGAGCUGCCGUGUGGCAGAGGACCAGAACAGGGAGCAGACUCCAGCCAACGGUCAGCAUGGGAGGGUCCGAGACCCGCAAGCCAAGAAGGGUCCAACUGCUGCCAACAGCCUCCAAGUGAGCGUGGCAGCCGGUCCAUCCCCAGCAGAGCCUUCGGAUGACCACAGACCCCGGGUCAGUGCCAGAACUUCAGCCUCUGGGACCACACGAAACAUGUAGCCACCUGCACUCUGCCCACACGCCUGCCCACACAAACCGUGAGAUGAGAUGACCAUGUGCUAAGGCUGGGGUGACCUGUUACAGAGAUAACUGAGACUCUGGCUAAGCUACUGCCACGUCAAGAAUAAGUAAUGCAAUCUUCAGGGAAAAGUGAAUCAACGCUAAGCAUUUUUUUUAACAUGGCUAACUUGAUUCUUCAUAGCAGUAUCUGAUACCAAAGGAGAAUGGAGGGAAUGUUUGUAAAGUAAUGAGGGAAAGAAAAGGUGAGCCUAGAACAGUAAAUCCAGUUAGAUGCUGCUCAACACUGUAAAGAAAUUUUUAAAAAAACUUAUCAAAGUAUACAACUGGUAAUUUUGUUGUAUGCAAACUACACUUCAAUAAAGAUAUUUUUUAAAGAAUUGAAAAAUAAUAAGAAAUGUGUUUGAGGGAAUGUUAAAGGUAAGCUAGGUCAAGAAUGUGAUUUUGUACAGAAGUCAGCAAACAAUCCAGUCCAUCGUCUGUUUUAAGAUCCCCUGGAGAAAGGCAUGACAACCCACUCCAGUAUUCUUGCCUGGAUAAUCUCAUGAACAGGGGAGGCUGGUGAGUUACAGUCCAUGGGGCCGCAAAGAGUCAGACAUGAGUGAGCAAGUAACACUUCCACUUCAUAGGCUGAGAAUAGUUCUUACAUUUUAAGAGGAUUUUAAGAGUCAAACAAUGAUUAAUGUUUCAGGGCAUGUGAAAAUUACAUGAAAUUGAAACCUAAAAAUAAGGUUUCACUAGCACACAGCCACACCCAAUCUUUUACUC